CCUACGGGAGGCAGCAGUGAGGAAUAUUGGUCAAUGGACGCAAGUCUGAACCAGCCAUGCCGCGUGCAGGAAGACGGCUCUAUGAGUUGUAAACUGCUUUUGUACGAGGGUAAACGCAGAUACGCGUAUCUGUCUGAAAGUAUCGGACGAAUAAGGAUCGGCUAACUCCGUGCCAGCAGCCGCGGUAAUACGGAGGAUUCAAGCGUUAUCCGGAUUUAUUGGGUUUAAAGGGUGCGUAGGCGGUCGGAUAAGUUAGCGGUGAAAUCCCGAGGCUCAACUUCGGAAUUGCCUCUGAUACUGGCAGGCUAGAGAGUAGUUGCGGUAGGCGGAAUGUAUGGUGUAGCGGUGAAAUGCUUAGAGAUCAGACAGAACACCGAUUGCGAAGGCAGCUUACCGAGCUACUUCUGACGUUGAGGCACGAAAGCGUGGGGAGCAAACAGGAUUAGAUACCCCGGUAGUC
rnacentral:rRNA from 1 species